UUCGGUGAUGAUAAAAAGACACGGAUCAGGCAUUCCUCGUCCUGAACGCUCAUGUUGAUUCCGUAUAUAAUCAAGUUUCAGCCUUGUCUGAUC
rnacentral:snoRNA from 1 species